rnacentral:rRNA from 1 species
GUGAGGAAUAUUGCUCAAUGGGAGAAAUCCUGAAGCAGCAACGCCGCGUGGAGGAUGAAGGGUCCAUGACUUGUAAACUCCUGUAAAGAAGGAAAAAAUUCCCAUUUGAUGGGAGAUGAUGGUACUUCUGGAGUAAGCCCCGGCUAACUACGUGCCAGCAGCCGCGGUAAUACGUAGGGGGCAAGCGUUGUCCGGAUUUACUGGGUGUAAAGGGUGCUCAGGCGGAUUUGUAAGUCAGAGGUGAAAUCUUACAGCUUAACUGUGAAACUGCCUUUGAUACUGCAAGCCUAGAGUAUGGAAGAGAGUGAUGGAAUAUCUGGUGUAGCAGUGAAAUGCGUAGAUAUCAGAUAGAACACCAAUGGCGAAGGCAGUCACUUGGUCCAUUACUGACGCUAAAGCACGAAAGCGUGGGUAGCAAACA